UACGUAGGGUGCAAGCGUUGUCCGGAAUUAUUGGGCGUAAAGAGCUCGUAGGCGGUUUGUUGCGUCGGCUGUGAAAUCCCGAGGCUCAACCUCGGGUCUGCAGUCGAUACGAGCAAACUAGAGUGUUGCAGGGGAGACUGGAAUUCCUGGUGUAGCGGUGAAAUGCGCAGAUAUCGGGAAGAACACCAGUGGCGAAAGCGCUCUACUGGGCCAUAACUGACACUGAGGGACGAAAGCUAGGGGAGCGAAAGGG
rnacentral:rRNA from 1 species